rnacentral:rRNA from 1 species
CAGUCGCCACGGUAAUACAGAGGGUGCGAGCGUUAAUCGGAUUUACUGGGCGUAAAGCGUGCGUAGGCGGCUUCUUAAGUCGGAUGUGAAAUCCCUGAGCUUAACUUAGGAAUUGCAUUCGAUACUGGGAAGCUAGAGUAUGGGAGAGGAUGGUAGAAUUCCAGGUGUAGCGGUGAAAUGCGUAGAGAUCUGGAGGAAUACCGAUGGCGAAGGCAGCCAUCUGGCCUAAUACUGACGCUGAGGUAUGAAAGCAUGGGGAGCAAACAGGAUUAGAUACCCCAGUAGUCCCUGUCUCUUAUAC